UGUAAAAAAAAACUGUAAAAAAACGGUAAAAUGUACAGUAGAAAUUUGAAGGAAUUUUCCGUUUUUACAUUUUACAGGUAUUUUUCCCGUAUUUUCAAUUUGGCGCAUUGCAUCAUGGGAACAAGAACCUGCACGAAGCGCAAAAUCUUGUUCUGUAGCCAUUCAAAGCUCUCUCUCCGACACUGAAUGUGUAUCCUGGACCCAGGUUGGACUUAGAAGUUGGAGUAAUCGGUUUUUGGCACCUCUGGGAGUCUGAUGUUCGAAGAAUGAUGGCUGAAACCUAUAGCAUCCAGCGAGCAGCAAUCAACAGAGGAAACUCCAUCAGCAAGUUAUUAGAAGACUGGCCUUUUCUCUUUGAAGCAAUCCACCUGUUUGAUCACACAACCACCCUUCUUGGCUUCCCAGUACAAACCAGACUGGCAGAGGAAUUGUCAAAGAAAGAAAAGACAAUAAAGGACUUCCUUGGGUCCAGAGGGGUGGAUAUUCCAGGAAGUGAUGCUGUCCAGGUGAUUAGUGGAAUCGCAAAAUUCUUCAAGGAGAAACCAGCCCAACUAUUUUGUCAAAAUGAGCUGCUGCAUCCAGAAAGUCCUGAUCUUGACCUGCCAAGCACCCCAUGCAUCUUUAUAAUGGGU